CCGACUUUAGCUCAGUUGGUAGAGCGGAGGACUGUAGUUGGAGUAAUAAUUUGAGUUGAAAUCCUUAGGUCGUUAGUUCGAAUCUGGCAGGUCGGA
rnacentral:tRNA from 1 species